CCCCGGAGACACCUCCUCCAGAAAACACUCUCCCAUCAGGCUGGGUCCCCUCACCCCCGGGAAGGCAGAGUUGAGCGAGGGUAAAUGACCAGCAGCUCCUGCAGACUGACUCCGGAUCAAAAGCUGGAAUCCAGACAUCUCUCCCCUUGUGCAACCCAGACAUACUACUGGAUUAAAAAGAAAAGGUCACCACCAACAUCCUCCAGGAUAUUCCAACAAGUGGUUGCCUAGUUUACAAACUAGACAGCAAACUUUGCAUUGCAGUAUGAAAACAAGAUCCCACUUUGCAAAAUAGAGAACAUGGCCCCUUCAAAUCUUUGUCCUAAAGGGAGGAGGUGCUGAUUGUUCCAGAAGAGGAAGUGCUGUUUUGGGGAAGGCCCUCACAUAGUGAAGCAGCCGAGAACCUGUCCAAAGCCAGGGAGGGACAGAGUGGCUGACCGAGGAUGCCCCAGGACAGGAACAAGGAGGAGCACUG